rnacentral:rRNA from 1 species
GACGAACGCUGGCGGCGUGCUUAACACAUGCAAGUCGAACGGGCCCGCCCUUUUUUUUUGGGGGGUGGGUUGAGUGGCGAACGGGUGAGUAUCACGUGAGUAACCUGCCCCCUGCUCCUGGAUAACUGCUUGAAAGGGCGGCUAAUACGGGGUGUGCCGGCUGGUCCGCAUGGGCCUGGUCGGGAUAGUUUCAUCUUCGGGUGUUUCGGUGGGGGAUGGGCUCGCGGCCUAUCAGCUUGUUGGUGGGGUGAUGGCCCACCAAGGCGGUGACGGGUAGCCGGCCUGAGAGGGUGGGCGGCCACACUGGGACUGAGACACGGCCCAGACUCCUGCGGGAGGCAGCAGUGGGGGGUAUUGCACAAUGGGCGGAAGCCUGAUGCAGCGACGGCGCGUGAGGGAUGGAGGCCUUCGGGUUGUGAACCUCUUUCUCCGGUGGUGAAGGCCCCGCCCUUGGUGGUGGGGUUGACGGUAGCCGGGUAUGAAGCGCCGGCUAACUACGUG